rnacentral:rRNA from 1 species
GAGGGAAAGGCGAAAAGAACCCCGGCGAGGGGAGUGAAAAAGAACCUGAAACCGUGUACGUACAAGCAGUAGGAGCCCCAUCACUCAAGUGCCUCGCACUGAGUGAUGCAAGAACAUCACCGAAAAUAGCGCCGAAUUUGCUAACAAGGUUGGUCGAUUUUUUCAAGCCGUCGCGCAGUGUACCUAGAAGUACACGAGCAACGGAAGUUAAAAAAUCGGGCAAGAUUGAACGCAAAGGCAAGCGGGACAUUUGAGGAUGGGGUGACUGCGUACCUUUUGUAUAAUGGGUCAGCGACUUAUAUUCUGUAGCAAGGUUAACCGCAUAGGGGAGCCGUAGGGAAACCGAGUCUUAACUGGGCGAAUGAGUUGCAGGGUAUAGACCCGAAACCCGGUGAUCUA